GACGAACGCUGGCGGCGUGCUUAACACAUGCAAGUCGAACGGAAAGGCCUGCUUUCCCUUGUGGAUUGCGGGUACUCGAGUGGCGAACGGGUGAGUAACACGUGAGUGAUCUGCCCCCAACUUGGGUAUAAGCCUGGGAAACUGGGUCUAAUUCCCGAUAGGACUGCAGGGUGGUGCCUGUGGUGGAAAACGAUUUUCUAGUGGUUGGGGAUGAGCUCGCGGCCUAUCAGCUUGUUGGUGGGGUAAUGGCCUACCAAGGCGGCGACGGGUAGCCGGCCUGGGAGGGUGGACGGCCACAUUGGGACUGGGAUACGGCCCAGACUCCUACGGGAGGCAGCAGUGGGGAAUAUUGCACAAUGGGCGGAAGCCUGAUGCAGCGACGCCGCGUGGGGGAUGACGGCCUGCGGGUUGUAAACUCCUUUCGACCGCGAGGAAGCCACCUGGUUGGAAGGGUGGUGACGGUAGUGGUAGAAGAAGCACCGGCUAACUACGUG
rnacentral:rRNA from 1 species